rnacentral:misc_RNA from 1 species
UUAUCUCUAUUAGCCUAUUCUUUAGCUCAAAGUUUUCUUUGACCUUGGUACUUAUGUGAAGUCUAUUACAAUGGACAGAACUACAUGACUGGGAAAAUAGUGGUUGAUUUGGGUUUUUCUACAUAAUUGGGGUCCUUCUGCCCUAGUCAUUUGACGCUUAUACUGCUUUAUCCUUAAAUUGCCCACUAUUAGAACUUUAGCAGUGGCCAUUCAAGGUUAAUGACCUUUAUUGUUCCAUUUUGAAUCGGAAUUUACCUUAAAAGAGCUUCCUAGCUCAUUUGGCACUGUGAGCAAACUAUGAGAUGAUGAAAAUAAAUCUGUCCAGCUAGGUGUAAAUAAUUGCCAAUGGAUACUUUAUGGACAAGGCAAGCUUUUUAUUAACGUGUACUACUACUUAGUUCUUUUCAUACUCUGUGGAUGGCACAGGAUGGGGAAUUUCAGAUGGAUCUAUUA